GUCAUAAAAAUCAAUUCUACCUGGAUUUCCUCAAAUGAAUCAUGUAAAGUUCUGCUGGAGUGCAGCGCAACUGGUAAUGUCAGCUACAAGUGGACUGUAGGAAAACAAACACUAACUGGUCCCAGGCAACAAUACAUCAUCAGGGAGCAGGAUGGAGAGACCAAUGUCACCUGCACAGUUUCCAAUCAUGUCAGUGAGAAGUCUGCAUUUCAAACUGUGAAGUGCAGCAAAAGUACACAACAAGAACCAGAAAAAUACUUGAUCCUUUUCCUGGGUGUAGCUGGUGGCUGUUUGAUACUUGUCAUUAUAUCCAGUGCAGCUGUGGGUGUUUGUCUCUGCAAUAAGAGACAUCCAGAUCUGUGUUGCAACAGGCUCACACAGUCUGAAACAAUCAACCAGGAGGAAAGUCAACAACAUGUGUACUCGGCUCUUUCCCACGGUGAUCUUUGUGUUUAUGAGACAAUGAGAGGCCAUGAAGAUGCUGGACCAGGUACAGUAUGACAAUGAUGUGAUAUGAGGUGCUGCAUUACUCCACUUAAGUAAUGUAUUUUCCCUACUCA